rnacentral:rRNA from 1 species
GACGAACGCUGGCGGCGUGCCUAAUACAUGCAAGUAGAACGCUGAAGGAGGAGCUUGCUCUUCUGGAUGAGUUGCGAACGGGUGAGUAACGCGUAGGUAACCUGCCUGGUAGCGGGGGAUAACUAUUGGAAACGAUAGCUAAUACCGCAUAACAGUAGAUGUUGCAUGACAUUUGCUUAAAAGGUGCAAUUGCACCACUACCAGAUGGACCUGCGUUGUAUUAGCUAGUUGGUGGGGUAACGGCUCACCAAGGCGACGAUACAUAGCCGACCUGAGAGGGGGAUCGGCCACACUGGGACUGAGACACGGCCCAGACUCCUACGGGAGGCAGCAGUAGGGAAUCUUCGGCAAUGGACGGAAGUCUGACCGAGCAACGCCGCGUGAGUGAAGAAGGUUUUCGGAUCGUAAAGCUCGGUUGUAAGAGAAGAACGAGUGUGAGAGUGGAAAGUUCACACUGUGACGGUAUCUUACCAGAAAGGGACGGCUAACUACGUG